AUUGACUACAACCCUCUGUUGCCUGUUACUCAGCCACUGCAUUACCCAUUCAACAAUAGAAUGUUGUCCUUAUCCACACAUAACUCCCUGUUCCUACCGUUCAUGGUAGCAGAUACAAGCCAGCAGCAAACGCAGAACAAACACAGACUUAAGAGGUACGUAAGUCAUCCUAAAUACCCCAGUACUACUCUUUAUACCUGCCCAGCUUACACUCUACCCAUUCUAGCUGCCCAGCUUCCUCUCCAUCCAGGACUUCAGCACGGCACGGCCCAUUGCUUCCCUCUGGAACCCACUUUGGAGGGGUAAACACAACAUAGCACACAUGCCGACUUAUAUUGCUCUGUCUGUAAACUGAUUUAAUGAUCUGUGUAACCGUGUUACUGUGUGCAGGAUGUCCCUGAUAAUUACACUCAUCUUUCUCCAUUUCAGAUCUCCAUGCAAGUUCAAAUGAUUCUAUCAGGG